UACGUAGGGUGCAAGCGUUAAUCGGAAUUACUGGGCGUAAAGCGUGCGCAGGCGGUUGUGCAAGACAGAUGUGAAAUCCCCGGGCUCAACCUGGGAAUUGCAUUUGUGACUGCACGGCUAGAGUGUGUCAGAGGGGGGUAGAAUUCCACGUGUAGCAGUGAAAUGCGUAGAGAUGUGGAGGAACACCGAUGGCGAAGGCAGCCCCCCUGGGCCAAGAUUGACGCUCAUGCACGAAAGCGUGGGGAGCAAACAGG
rnacentral:rRNA from 1 species